rnacentral:rRNA from 1 species
AAUCACUUGUCUUUUAAAUGAAGACCUGUAUGAAUGGCAUCACGAGGGCUUAACUGUCUCCCCUCUCCAGUCAAUGAAAUUGACCUCCCCGUGCAGAGGCGGGGAUAUUUAUAUAAGACGAGAAGACCCUGUGGAGCUUUAGACCUAAAGUAAACCACGUUUAAUGUACUAGAAUUAAUAGCAAAAACUUAGUGGACAUUUAUUUAAGUGUCUUUGGUUGGGGCGACCGCGGAGUAAAACAUAACCUCCAUGUGGAUGGGGAUACUUUCCCUAAAACUCAGAGCCUCCACUCCAAGCAACAGAAAUUCUGACCUUACUGAUCCGGUACAACCGAUUAACGAACCCAGUUACCCCAGGGAUAACAGCGCAAUCCCCUCUCAGAGCUCAUAUCGACGAGGGGGUUUACGACCUCGAUGUUGGAUCAGGACAUCCUAGUGGUGCAGCCGCUA